rnacentral:rRNA from 1 species
UACGUAGGGGGCUAGCGUUGUCCGGAAUCAUUGGGCGUAAAGAGCGUGUAGGCGGCCCGGUAAGUCCGCUGUAAAAGUCAAAGGCUUAACCUUUGAAUGUCAGUGGAUACUGCCGGGCUAGAGUCCGGAAGAGGCGAGUGGAACUCCUGGUGUAGCGGUGGAAUGCGCAGAUAUCAGGAAGAACACCAACGGCGAAGGCAGCUCGCUAGGACGGUACUGACGCUGAGACGCGAAAAGCGUGGGGGAGCGAACAGG